rnacentral:rRNA from 1 species
AGGACGAACGCUGGCGGCGUGCUUAACACAUGCAAGUCGAGCGGAAAGGCUCCUUCGGGGGUACUCGAGCGGCGAACGGGUGAGUAACACGUGAGUAAUCUGCCCUUGGCUUUGGGAUAAGCCCCGGAAACGGGGUCUAAUACCGGAUACGACGCACUCUCGCACGGGAUGUGUGUGGAAAGUUUUUUCGGCCAGGGAUGUGCUCGCGGCCUAUCAGCUUGUUGGUGGGGUAAUGGCCUACCAAGGCUUCGACGGGUAGCCGGCCUGAGAGGGUGACCGGCCACACUGGGACUGAGACACGGCCCAGACUCCUACGGGAGGCAGCAGUGGGGAAUAUUGGACAAUGGGCGGAAGCCUGAUCCAGCAACGCCGCGUGAGGGAUGACGGCCUUCGGGUUGUAAACCUCUUUCAGUACCGACGAAGCGCCGAUGAUGGUGGUGACGGUAGGUACAGAAGAAGCACCGGCCAACUACGUG